AGAGUUUGAUCUGGCUCAGGAUGAACGCUAGCGGCAGGCCUAAUACAUGCAAGUCGAACGCUCAGUAGCAAUACUGGGAGUGGCGCACGGGUGCGUAACGCGUACACAAUCUACCUCUAAGCGGGGGACACCUCCUGGAAACGGGGAUUAAUACCGCAUAAUAUGCCGAAGUCGCAUGACUUUGGUAUUAAAGCAGCAAUGCACUUAGAGAUGAGUGUGCGUCCCAUUAGGUAGUUGGUGAGGUAACGGGCUCACCAAGCCUAUGAUGGGUAGCCGGUCUGAGAGGAUGGUCGGCCACACGGGCACUGAGACACGGGCCCGACUCCUACGGGAGGCAGCAGUAAGGAAUAUUGGUCAAUGGUGGAAACACUGAACCAGCCAUGCCGCGUGGAGGAAUAAGGUCCUACGGAUUGUAAACUCCUUUUGACGAGGAAGAAAAUGUUAGAUUUAUCUAAUUUUGACGGUACUCGUAGAAUAAGCACCGGCUAACUCCGUG
rnacentral:rRNA from 1 species